UACGUAGGGUGCGAGCGUUGUCCGGAAUCAUUGGGCGUAAAGCGCGUGUAGGCGGUCCGGUAAGUCCGCUGUGAAAGUCGGGGGCUCAACCCUCGAAUGCCGGUGGAUACUGUCGGGCUAGAGUGCGGAAGAGGCGAGUGGAAUUCCCGGUGUAGCGGUGAAAUGCGCAGAUAUCGGGAGGAACACCAAUGGCGAAGGCAGCUCGCUGGGACGGUACUGACGCUGAGACGCGAAAGCGUGGGGAGCAAACAGG
rnacentral:rRNA from 1 species